CGUAGGCGGCCGAGUAAGUCCGACGUGAAAUCUGGAGGCUCAACCUCCAGCGGUCGUUGGAAACUACUCGGCUAGAGUCCGGAAGAGGAGAGUGGAAUUCCUGGUGUAGCGGUGAAAUGCGCAGAUAUCAGGAAGAACACCGAUGGCGAAAGCAGCUCUCUGGGACGGUACUGACGCUGAGGCGCGAAAGCGUGGGAGCGAACA
rnacentral:rRNA from 1 species